CCAUGGUUGACCAUGUGCUCAACCAUGGUUUGAGCAUGAGGGAGGCUGGCCAGAGGGUCCAACCAAAUCUCAGCCGCUUCACAGUUGCUGCCAUCAUUAGAACCUUUAGAAUGGAGAACAGGUAUGAAUUAUAUUUGCCUUGUGUACUGAAAUACUGCAUAUCAAUAGAAUACAGUGUGCUCACUGUAUUUGUAUAUUGCAGGACUGAAAGAGAACCACACCGUGGAGGAAGAACAUGCACUUUCACAGCCGAACAGGAGACUGACAUUGUGAAAAUGGUUUGUGAAAACAACACUAUCACACUCCGACAGAUACAAACCAGGAUCAUGGCUGACCAUGCCACAUUCAGAAACAUGGGGGAAUGGAAUGCCCCAGGAAUGCCAUGCGGAUGAAACAAGUGUACAGGGUCCUAUUCGACUGAAACACAGACCACAUCAAGGAGUUACGGCAAGAGUUUGUGCUUCGGAUCCAGGAGCAUGACACAGCUAAUGAGCUAUAUGAAUACAUAUUCAUUGAUGAGGUUGGAUUCAACCUGGUGAAGAGGAGGCGCCGGGGCAGAAAUGUCAUUGGCCAGCGCGCCAUUGUUGAGGUCCCCGGCCAGCAUGAUGGGACCAUCACUUUGUGUGCUGCAAUGGGUUGAGCAGGCCCGUUGACAGUACUGUACUGUUCAGAAAUAAAACUUUUUUGCCGCAUA